rnacentral:rRNA from 1 species
UGGGGAAUAUUGGACAAUGGGCGGAAGCCUGAUCCAGCAACGCCGCGUGAGGGAUGACGGCCUUCGGGUUGUAAACCUCUUUCAGCACAGACGAAGCGCAAGUGACGGUAUGUGCAGAAGAAGGACCGGCCAACUACGUGCCAGCAGCCGCGGUAAUACGUAGGGUCCGAGCGUUGUCCGGAAUUAUUGGGCGUAAAGGGCUCGUAGGCGGUUUGUCGCGUCGGGAGUGAAAACACCGGGCUUAACUCGGUGCUUGCUUUCGAUACGGGCAGACUAGAGGCAUUCAGGGGAGAACGGAAUUCCUGGUGUAGCGGUGAAAUGCGCAGAUAUCAGGAGGAACACCGGUGGCGAAGGCGGUUCUCUGGGAAUGUCCUGACGCUGAGGAGCGAAAAGUGUGGGGAGCGAACAGGAUUAGAUACCCUGGUAGUCCACACCGUAAACGUUGGGCGCUAGGUGUGGGAUCCAUUCCACGGGUUCCGUGCCGCAGCUAACGCAUUAAGCGCCCCGCCUGGGGAGUACGGCCGCAAGGCUAAAACUUAAAUGAAUUGACGGGGUCAUAGCUGUUUCCU